rnacentral:rRNA from 1 species
GACGAACGCUGGCGGCGUGCUUAACACAUGCAAGUCGUACGGUAAGGCCCUUUCGGGGGUACACGAGUGGCGAACGGGUGAGUAACACGUGAGUAACCUGCCCACAACUUUGGGAUAACGCUAGGAAACUGGUGCUAAUACUGGAUAUGUGCUCCUGCUGCAUGGUGGGGGUUGGAAAGCUCCGGCGGUUGUGGAUGGACUCGCGGCCUAUCAGCUUGUUGGUGGGGUAGUGGCCUACCAAGGCGGCGACGGGUAGCCGGCCUGAGAGGGUGACCGGCCACAUUGGGACUGAGAUACGGCCCAGACUCCUACGGGAGGCAGCAGUGGGGAAUAUUGCACAAUGGGCGCAAGCCUGAUGCAGCAACGCCGCGUGCGGGAUGACGGCCUUCGGGUUGUGAACCGCUUUCAGCAGGGACGAAGCUUUUUGUGACGGUACCUGCAGAAGAAGCACCGGCUAACUACGUG